AGUGAACGCUGGCGGUAGGCCUAACACGUGCAAGUCGAACGGCAGCACAGUAAGAGCUUGCUCUUACGGGUGGCGAGUGGCGGACGGGUGAGGAAUACAUCGGAAUCUACUUUUUCGUGGGGGAUAACGUAGGGAAACUUACGCUAAUACCGCAUACGACCUACGGGUGAAAGCAGGAGAUCUUCGGACCUUGCGCGAUUGAAUGAGCCGAUGUCGGAUUAGCUAGUUGGCGGGGUAAGGGCCCACCAAGGCGACGAUCCGUAGCUGGUCUGAGAGGAUGAUCAGCAACACUGGACCUAGGACACGGUCCAGACUCCUACGGGAGGCAGCAGUGGGGAAUAUUGGACAAUGGGCGCAAGCCUGAUCCAGCCAUACCGCGUGGGUGAAGAAGGCCUUCGGGUUGUAAAGCCCUUUUGUUGGGAAAGAAAAGCAGCAGGUUAAUACCCCGCUGUUCUGACGGUACCCAAAGAAUAAGCACCGGCUAACUUCGU
rnacentral:rRNA from 1 species